CCUCCUCCUCCGCUUUUUAAUUUUAAUUUCUUCGAUAUACUUAUUUUCUUUAAAUAAUUUUUUCUUUGGCAACCCAAGAAUUCAUACAAUUUGGAGACUGCUGAAUGAUCUUGCGUCGAUGGUCGCUAGGGUUUGGAGAAUUCAAAUUCUUAAAUCUUCUGUUUUGGUUGUUCAACUCGUCUCUCAUCUCCUCGGCUUGUCUUCUGUUCUCUUCUUGAACGAUGGGCGAGGCAGCUCUGGAAGGCCUGCUGUUCCGCAGGCAACCAGUAUGCAGCCAUUGUAGAAGGGAGGGGGGAUAUUUCGGUUUCGGUCUCAUCCAUUCAAGAAUCCCGGAACCUCUGAGCCCAAGGGGUUUUUUUGCGGCAUCGCGAAGUAGAAAACAGCUAUUUCUGACAGCAAGGCAAUCUUGGACCCUCUGCGGAUGUUCUGAAGGCAACUGGAUGCAGCAGCUUAGUCAUCUUGAAGACUUACAACGCAAUUCUGGAUUAAGUGAGCCAAGCUAAUUAUAUGCCGAGCAUUCAAACAAUGGAAUUAGCGAAGCCAGUUUGGUUAACUUACUUUGUGAUCUUUACUAUAAUGACAAGGUAAAGCGGUAAGCAUUUUAUCAUGUUGUAUGGGCCUCUCUGGGUCAACACUUUUUCAAGUUUUAUACAUGUGAAGGUAUUCUAAUCUUGAAUUUAUUGCUUUGAUAGAAAAUAUUUGGUUUUUUCUUAAGCUAAUUUAUUUCUUAAGUUUUUCUUUGGUUCUUCAUUUUUUUAUAAUCUUGAAUUUAAGCUAAUAAACUCUGGUGAAAUUUGUCCAGAUCCUUGCUCCCUUGCACUUAUUAAAUGUUUUUCAUCAUUUUUCAAAAAAAAAGGUCUCUUUAAGUGAUUUCGUCUUAGGCCCCAAAUGCAUGGGCACUGCAUUACUCUCAUCAUUUAAAAUGGAUUUAUGCUAAGUGCAAGAACUAGGAAUGUGCCGCUAACUAUGUAGAAGUCUCUACAAUGAUGCAGCGUCAGCAAUAAAUUAUUUCCAUCCUCACGUAAUUCUCACGAUCAGAAGUAAAUAUAGAAUGAGAAAAAGACCUAUACACUAUGCCAUGUGUCAGCUGCAAAAACAAUAGCAUCUUCAGCAAACACAUUGAGCCCUUGCACCACCUGGGGAGGAAGAUUCUCUGGAUAAAUCUCAUAGAGCACACUGCAGAAUCACAACGUACAAUACAAGAGAGAUUAUGUACAAGAGUAUAAAAAGAAAACUUCCUAAGAUUGAAUUAUUGAAACCACACAAGAACAGAACAUAGUUAGAAUAGCAUUUCAUUCAGCUAUCAAACAUUAAAUAGACCACCUAGAGCGGAUCAUCUUUCAUCCUUCAACUUCCUUGGAUCUCAACUAUAUCAUUUACCAACGAGUAUUGCCGCAGAUCACACGUCCACACCCCACUCAGCCAAUUAUCAACUCCAGCUUUGUCUCUACUAAUAGGUCAUGCUGUCACGCCCUAAAUUUGGAAUAUGAUGUGUUGGUGCUACUGUACGGUAUCGCCCGCAAUAACACAAAGCUUAUAAAAAAACACCGUAUGAAAUUUUAUCUCAUAAAAUACAAUAAUAAAAAUGGUCCAAAGUUUUUUCAUUAUUAAAUAAAAAUGUAAUUUUUCAUAAUUUAAAGUCCAUAAUUUAUACAUAAAUCAUUUACAAUCAUGAUUCUAAAUUUUUAAAAAAAUAUGGAGACAGUCAUAUCAAACAUAAUCUAUAUCUUCAUUUUUGAAGUUGAUCGGUACAUCAACAACAGUAAGGCUUGUCUUAAGGUUACUUGCUUCUGGUUGCCUAAAGAUCAUUAGCAAAUCUGCUGCACUUUUCAAAAUCAUUUAAAAAGAUAAAUUAAUUUGCAUUGAAUUAUUUAAAAAUUUAAAUGCAAAAUAAAAAGCUCUAUGGGAUCGAAAUGGACUUGAUCUGACGUUGUAUCUUGACCGGAGAAAAGAGGCAGAAAAGGCCGGCCCAAGCGGUCGCCACGACACUGGUCUCGGAUCCUGUUACGGAUCCACCCGGUAGGUACACAGAGAAAAAUAAGAUCCUCAAGUGAGACGUACAGGCGGCUAGAUGGAGAGAGAUUCAACCAGGAUGGGAUCUCUCCAAUUUGUUUCUUUUUUUUCCCCCUCCUUCUCUCUCUCUCUCUCUCUCCUUACUUUUUUUUUUUCUUCGGCAAAAUAGGGGAGCACCCUCACUAGAAUGGGGGAAGAGGGGGAAGGGCACGAUGGCCCAGUAGGGUUGGGCACAGCGAGGGCGCCGGUUGCAGGAGCCCGACGGUGGGGAAACGGCCACCAAUGGAGGUGGCAGUGCUGGCAAAGAGAAGAACAACAGAGAGGAGCAUGUGGGAGGAGGUCGGGGCUAUUGCCUUACUCCAACGAUGCACUCCAACCAUGAAUCAGACAGAGAUGGGCCACGACGAGCUCGAAGCAGAGAAAGGAAGAUGCACGGAGAAAGAUAAAGAUGGAAGAAUAGGAGAAGAGAGAGGAAGAUGGAGGAGAAGGUCGUGUGGCCAUGGCAACCGAUAAAGGAGAAGAAACUGGGGGGAGGAGGCCACCUGAUCAAUCUAGUUUUCUCGCAAUCGACAACGAGAAAUCUCGUUGGAAAAGAAGAACGCGCGCGGAAUCAACGAUUCCAGUCUUCUCUUCCCUCUCUCACAUGCGAUUUCCUGCCAGUCUGUCGACCUUCGACACAGCCUGCUUUCCACACUCGGAAGCCUGGGUAGACAUGGCUCACUGCGUUGAGUCAACUGGGUUCUUCACAUAUGAUGAGGACGUAAUAUUGAUCAGAUAGUAGUUAACUAGCCCUCUCAAGAUAUCCUAACUAAAUGUUGUCAUUUGUUAUGUUUAUUCCAGAGCUUUGUAGUCUUCUUAUUAUUCUUUUUGAUCCAGCAUGGUGUCCGUCAAAGCAUUGCCAAGUUUUGUUAUUUAUAACUUUUAUAAUUGAUGAAGUUAGAAGCUUCCAAGUUUCUCCAUUUUUUUAGCAUGACAAGCAUUUUUGUUUUGUGAUUUCCUUGAAAAUUCCAACAUAAGAUAGUUAAUUUAGUAAAACCAGCAAAUUUGUGAUACUUGUCUAUAAGAUUAUGAUAUUUCAAUACCAAUUUGUAUUUGAAGGUGUGCUUCGUUGAGCUAAUCAUUUAGGAGAAUGAUCAUAAUUAAUCGUCACCCUCACUCACCUGUUUGUGCAAUAGUUACGACAACACUGCAGUACUAGUUUACUAUGUAUUUCUAAUAAAUUUGUCAAUUAUAAAAGUGGAGUUUAACUUUGUAUUUGUUUCUCUACCUCUUUAGAGUAUUUAUCUCUUGAUUCUAAUGGUAAUGCUUAUGCAAGACUAGUGUAAAUUGCCGAUGUACCAAAAAAAUAAAAAAAAAACCUACUAUAUUUUUGGGUAAUCCCUUUAUGGAAAACGUGC